UUNUGAACUGGGUGACUAGAGUGUNUCAGAGGGAGGUAGAAUUCCACGUGUAGCAGUGAAAUGCGUAGAGAUGUGGAGGAAUACCGAUGGCGAAGGCAGCCUCCUGGGAUAACACUGACGUUCAUGCCCGAAAGCGUGGGUAGCAAACAGGAUUAGAUACCCUGGUAGUCCACGCCCUAAACGAUGUCGAUUAGCUGUUGGGCAGCAUGACUGCUUAGUAGCGAAGCUAACGCGUGAAAUCGACCGCCUGGGGAGUACGGUCGCAAGAUUAAAACUCAAAGGAAUUGACGGGGACCCGCACAAGCGGUGGAUGAUGUGGAUUAAUUCGAUGCAACGCGAAGAACCUUACCUGGUCUUGACAUGUACGGAAUCCUCCAGAGACGGAGGAGUGCCUUCGGGAGCCGUAACACAGGUGCUGCAUGGCUGUCGUCAGCUCGUGUCGUGAGAUGUUGGGUUAAGUCCCGCAACGAGCGCAACCCUUGUCAUUAGUUGCCAUCAUUAAGUUGGGCACUCUAAUGAGACUGCCGGUGACAAGCCGGAGGAAGGUGGGGAUGACGUCAAGUCCUCAUGGCCCUUAUGACCAGGGCUUCACACGUCAUACAAUGGUCGGUACAGAGGGUAGCCAAGCCGCGAGGCGGAGCCAAUCUCACAAAACUGAUCGUAGUC
rnacentral:rRNA from 1 species